rnacentral:lncRNA from 1 species
UUUCAUACAAUCCAGUUUACAUCCACACAUCAAUUCAUUUAUAUUUAUUUCCGGCUUUAAACUAACCACGGUCACGUUUCCAGCCCGUGACGGGGCAACCAAUAUCACAUAGUUAGUUUAGAGCACCACAUCCAUCAGUCCAAUUAUGUAGGUGUAAGUUAUGUGCAUGCAUGCAUCCAUCAUAAUACCAACCACAGCGAAUACGAUCAUAAUAUCAACCACAAGCCAACACGAUCAAAAUAUAAUUUAAUAUAAAACUAUUUUUGAUUUAUCUGGAUUAUAGCAUAUCAUACAUAUCUAAGUAUAAAAAUAUUAUAUCAUGCAGGAUUGGCGUACAAGGAUCCUUACCCUU